UACGUAGGGUGCAAGCGUUGUCCGGAAUUAUUGGGCCUAAAGCAUCCGUAGCCGGUCCUACAAGUCUUCCGUUAAAUCCACCUGCUUAACAGAUGGGCUGCGGAAGAUACUAUAGGGCUAGGAGGCGGGAGAGGCAAGCGGUACUCAGUGGGUAGGGGUAAAAUCCUCUGAUCCAUUGAAGACCACCAGUGGCGAAGGCGGCUUGCCAGAACGCGCUCGACGGUGAGGGAUGAAAGCUGGGGGAGCAAACCGG
rnacentral:rRNA from 1 species